UCCAAGCAAAUGUAUACUGUGUAAACGUGCAAUAAUCUAUUUAAAUAGCGCGCGGCUCCUUGCGCCGCCGCCAUCUUGCCAGCGUCUGCGCGCGCUGCGGCUACUAAGCAUCGCUUGAGAUCCUAACCUAACCGAUCAGGUGUGUGUGGUCCGCGCGGCUCGUGCCGGCGAGCACCAACGCACAGUCGAAAUUUCCACAAGUAUCAGUCCUCGUCAUCCGUAGUGAGUGGUCUAUCCCGCUUUCAAUCCCUAUUGCGCACCCAUCAAUGGCCCGCCGACGGCGUAGUUGCUGCUCCAUCCUGAGGGUACGCACUUCACGCCAAAAAAGCUGGAAGCCAUAUCAUUUAACGCCACGCACAAAGGGCUUCACCGCCAGUAUUCCGCACAUGAGGGGCAAGGCGACAACCAUCUACGAUAUUCAGAUAGCGUCUGAUCCCAUAAAGCCGACCAUGAGGAAUCUCCUCUUGGGGAAACGGUUAGAAGGACAUAUGUAUGUAUGCUAAAAGAAUUCCCAUCGAGGAGGUGCCAGAGGGAGACGAAGCUGCUGCUGAAUGGCUACACAAGCUCUAUCAGCAAAAGAUUAACAGCUACCCAUCACGAUGCAGCUAGUAAAUUUAUCAAUAUUAUCACUCGGGGACAUAGAAACAGUAUACUUCCGAAAGACUUGAUCCCUCUUGUACAAGACGUAGUAGAAACGCAUCCAGGACUGACGUUUUUAAAAGAAGCUACGGAAUUUCAUUCUCAU